rnacentral:rRNA from 1 species
AACCCUGUCCUAGUUACCAGCACGUAUGGUGGCGACUCUAAGGAGACUGCCGGUGACAAACCGGAGGAAGGUGGGGAUGACGUCAAGUCAUCAUGGCCCUUACGGCCUGGGCUACACACGUGCUACAAUGGUCGGUACAAAGGGUUGCCAAGCCGCGAGGUGGAGCUAAUCCCAUAAAACCGAUCGUAGUCCGGAUCGCAGUCUGCAACUCGACUGCGUGAAGUCGGAAUCGCUAGUAAUCGUGAAUCAGAAUGUCACGGUGAAUACGUUCCCGGGCCUU